ACAAAAAAAAAUGUUAAAAUAAUAAUAAUAAUAAUAAUAUGGAAUCUUCAAAUGAUGGUAUGAUAAUAAUCUUAUUUUGUUUUUUUUUUUUUUCUUAUCUUC
rnacentral:ribozyme from 12 species